rnacentral:rRNA from 1 species
GGGUUGUGAGGUUAAGCGACUAAGCGUACACGGUGGAUGCCCUGGCAGUCAGAGGCGAUGAAGGACGUGCUAAUCUGCGAUAAGCGUCGGUGAGGUGAUAUGAACCGUUAUAACCGGCGAUUUCCGAAUGGGGAAACCCAGUGUGUUUCGACACACUAUCAUUAACUGAAUCCAUAGGUUAAUGAGGCGAACCGGGGGAACUGAAACAUCUAAGUACCCCGAGGAAAAGAAAUCAACCGAGAUUCCCCCAGUAGCGGCGAGCGAACGGGGAGGAGCCCAGAGCCUGAAUCAGUGUGUGUGUUAGUGGAAGCGUCUGGAAAGGCGUGCGAUACAGGGUGACAGCCCCGUACACAAAAAUGCACAUAUUGUGAGCUCGAUGAGUAGGGCGGGACACGUGGUAUCCUGUCUGAAUAUGGGGGGACCAUCCUCCAAGGCUAAAUACUCCUGACUGACCGAUAGUGAACCAGUACCGUGAGGGAAAGGCGAAAAGAACCCCGGCGAGGGGAGUGAAAAAGAACCUGAAACCGUGUACGUACAAGCAGUGGGAGCCUCUUAAUGGGGUGACUGCGUACCUUUUGUAUAAUGGGUCAGCGACUUAUAUUCUGUAGCAAGGUUAACCGAAUAGGGGAGCCGAAGGGAAACCGAGUCUUAACUGGGCGUUAAGUUGCAGGGUAUAGACCCGAAACCCGGUGAUCUAGCCAUGGGCAGGUUGAAGGUUGGGUAACACUAACUGGAGGACCGAACCGACUAAUGUUGAAAAAUUAGCGGAUGACUUGUGGCUGGGGGUGAAAGGCCAAUCAAACCGGGAGAUAGCUGGUUCUCCCCGAAAGCUAUUUAGGUAGCGCCUCGUGAAUUCAUCUCCGGGGGUAGAGCACUGUUUCGGCAAGGGGGUCAUCCCGACUUACCAACCCGAUGCAAACUGCGAAUACCGGAGAAUGUUAUCACGGGAGACACACGGCGGGUGCUAACGUCCGUCG